rnacentral:lncRNA from 1 species
AGCGUGGCCUUGUAACACCCCACAUUUUACAUGUACUAGUAAUGUUCACAUAAAAUGACACACGACUUGAUUUAAUUACUACCAAAAUUUUUCAAGUGUUCAAGUGUUAGAUUGGGGCACUAUAUGGAAGUCUAUUUAGAGACUGUGGCCUUAAACGGAAAAAAAAACAUUGACAUGCUUAUGGAACUUAGGGAGCUAGCAGGUGAGUCACCUGUGUGCUUAGCUUAAAAAUUAUAUAUACAUGAGGGAGAAGAAUUCAUUCAUAAGUGAACUCACUUGAAGUCUAGACGUUAGUAAAAAGAAAGGGGAACGAAGACAAGGCUUAACGCCGAAACUUUCCAAGUCUUGUGACAAACGAAGCCCAAGUUAGGGAGGCUAUUAAAGACAAUGGUUUAACAUUAUAUUGGUCCAAGAUGUUCAGCCCAAGAUUUUUAUAUAAUAGGCCCAACUACAUUCAUUCACUACUAGCAAAAUUGAGCCCAAACAAAGUGCAAGAAAGAGUAAGGAAAUGGGCCACUAAAGCCCAUUGAUUUAGAGAUCCAAAAGGCCCAAGUGAAAGGGGAAAAUUAGUCAUUGACCAACUUGAGUUAAUCAGCUACAAAUAUUAGGAGAAAGUCGGUCUAAAGUCUCCUUAAAAAGGGACCAAAACCGAGCUCUAGGUUAACCAAAGAAAAGACCAAAAAAUUUCAGAAUUUCUCUCUAAGUUUCUCUUGGUAUUUCUUCACCUUGGAAGGCAACCAAAGGCUACUUUUUGAGUUCUUGAAUUAGAC